UCACUGGUCGAGUGAUCCUGCGCCGAAGAUUUCCGGGGCUAAAACUUACUACCGAAGCUACGGCAUCAGUAAUGAUGGGUAGGGGAGCUUCCCAUACGGGUUGAAGCAUGACCGUAAGGACAUGUGGACAGUAUGGGAGGGAGAAUGUUGGCAUGAGUAGCGAGAUGUGGGUGAGAAUCCCACAGGCCGUAAACCCAAGGUUUCCAGGGGAAGGUUCGUCCGCCCUGGGUUAGUCGGGACCUAAGCUGAGGCCGAAAGGCGUAGGUGAUGGACAACAGGUUGAUAUUCCUGUACUACCGAUAACCGUUUG
rnacentral:rRNA from 1 species